GCUCAGGAUGAACGCUAGCUACAGGCUUAACACAUGCAAGUCGAGGGGCAGCAUGGUCUUAGCUUGCUAAGGCCGAUGGCGACCGGCGCACGGGUGAGUAACACGUAUCCAACCUGCCGUCUACUCUUGGACAGCCUUCUGAAAGGAAGAUUAAUACAAGAUGGCAUCAUGAGUCCGCAUGUUCACAUGAUUAAAGGUAUUCCGGUAGACGAUGGGGAUGCGUUCCAUUAGAUAGUAGGCGGGGUAACGGCCCACCUAGUCUUCGAUGGAUAGGGGUUCUGAGAGGAAGGUCCCCCACAUUGGAACUGAGACACGGUCCAAACUCCUACGGGAGGCAGCAGUGAGGAAUAUUGGUCAAUGGGCGAGAGCCUGAACCAGCCAAGUAGCGUGAAGGAUGACUGCCCUAUGGGUUGUAAACUUCUUUUAUAAAGGAAUAAAGUCGGGUAUGCAUACCCGUUUGCAUGUACUUUAUGAAUAAGGAUCGGCUAACUCCGUGCCAGCAGCCGCGGUAAUACGGAGGAUCCGAGCGUUAUCCGGAUUUAUUGGGUUUAAAGGGAGCGUAGAUGGAUGUUUAAGUCAGUUGUGAGAGUUUGCGGCUCAACCGUAAAAUUGCAGUUGAUACUGGAUAUCUUGAGUGCAGUUGAGGCAGGCGGAAUUCGUGGUGUAGCGGUGAAAUGCUUAGAUAUCACGAAGAACUCCGAUUGCGAAGGCAGCCUGCUAAGCUGCAACUGACAUUGAGGCUCGAAAGUGUGGGUAUCAAACAGGAUUAGAUACCCUGGUAGUCCACACGGUAAACGAUGAAUACUCGCUGUUUGCGAUAUACAGCAAGCGGCCAAGCGAAAGCGUUAAGUAUUCCACCUGGGGAGUACGCCGGCAACGGUGAAACUCAAAGGAAUUGGCGGGGGCCCGCACAAGCGGAGGAACAUGUGGUUUAAUUCGAUGAUACGCGAGGAACCUUACCCGGGCUUAAAUUGCAGAUGAAUUACGGUGAAAGCCGUAAGCCGCAAGGCAUCUGUGAAGGUGCUGCAUGGUUGUCGUCAGCUCGUGCCGUGAGGUGUCGGCUUAAGUGCCAUAACGAGCGCAACCCUUGUUGUCAGUUACUAACAGGUUCCGCUGAGGACUCUGACAAGACUGCCAUCGUAAGAUGUGAGGAAGGUGGGGAUGACGUCAAAUCAGCACGGCCCUUACGUCCGGGGCUACACACGUGUUACAAUGGGGGGUACAGAGGGCCGCUACCACGCGAGUGGAUGCCAAUCUCAAAAACCUCUCUCAGUUCGGACUGGAGUCUGCAACCCGACUCCACGAAGCUGGAUUCGCUAGUAAUCGCGCAUCAGCCACGGCGCGGUGAAUACGUUCCCGGGCCUUGUACACACCGCCCGUCAAGCCAUGGGAGCCGGGGGUACCUGAAGUGCGUAACCGCGAGGAGCGCCCUAGGGUAA
rnacentral:rRNA from 1 species